rnacentral:tRNA from 1 species
UCUCUGAUAGUAUAUCGGUUAGUACACGCGCCUGUCAUGUGCGUUUCGCGCGAAAGCUGGGUUCGACUCCCAGUCAGAGAG